UUCCAUGUUCCCUUAAUGCUUGAAAUAUUAAGUUGGUGAAAAAGUAACUGCAGCUUUUGCAAUUUUAUAGCAAAUACUUCUGCACCAACCUGUAACACUUUUCUAAGGCCACUGUCCUUUCUGCAGCUCUGUGCCAUCAUGGGAAUUUGGGACAAACCGGGUCUUUGAGGGUGCUGAGAAAUAUUAUUUAGAGCACAAAAUCAGGGUUGGAGCAAUGGGAAUGAACUGCCCAUGUACCGUUUGUAUGUAAUGUAUAUGGAAAACACAACAGCUCUACAGGUGCUUGUGGGGCAGGGGGAUCUGUUGAGUAGCUCACUGAUACAUUGUCACUGAUGAUCUGAAGGAGGAGUAGCAUCUUCCUUCCUCUGGCCUGAGCAGGUACCCAACCUUUCCCAGGUUCCCAGGCUUCAUUUGCUGUGAUGUUUCAUAGUAAAAAAAUGCCACCUGCCAGGCAUAUGGGAGGUAACUGCCUGACCCAUCUUGGCUUUGUUUGGGGAUCUAGGCCUUUGGAGAAGCCAUGUGAGGUUGCAGAGGUGGCUCAUGCUAGAAGGUGAGCUUGAGCUCCCCCAGGACGGGGAAGGGAUGGAUUGGACAUGGUGGCUGCAGUCCACAAGGGCUGUACACAUUUGGGCUGCUGUGGAGAGACUACUAAACCCAAGGUCUGGGGUGCAGAGGUGUGAGGGAGUCUUUGAGCCAUCAGUGUGGGGAGAGGGUGCUGGGAGCACUCCUGGGUCCACUCAGGCAUUUGGGGAUGAAGACCAGCCCUAUGGGUACGUCACUUGGCAGAAGAGGCAAUGAUUUUCUGGAAAAACGUGUCCUGUUGGGCCUGGACUUGGAGGACUGGGGACACAGGGUGGGAGGUCAAGAGAGAAGUCAGGGAGGAGGCUGAGAGUGAGGUUGGGGUGAAGGGGCGCUGGGAGAUGUGGUGGAGAGUAGAGAUGCAGGGAAGACCCAGAAGCCAAAGGCUGAAUUGCAAUCAGAAGCAAAUCAGGAACCAGACAGGCCAAAGAGCUGUACUGGACAGGACCAGAGUACUGACAGAUGACACUGACUGUCACUAUGUUCCAGGCAUUGUGGUAAGCAUGAAGCUUUUUGCAGACGAUCUCAUUUCAGUCUCUGCAAGCCUGUGAGGUAGUUGUCACUAAUGCCCCCAGCUAUAGACAGUGUGCAGUGCCUGGGUACCCCAAAAAGGGCUGCUGCAAGUGGAAAAUGUCUUUGAAGUCUACUGUUUGGUCUUUAAAAAUUGUAGGGAUUUUUGCAUCCUACUGGAUAAUACAUAUGUGUUUGUUUUAAUUUAAAUGUCUUUAAACUUGCUGCCAUUUUCCUCCUAAAUCUUUGAAUAAGUGUGCCACAUUUCUCCUUCUGUUCAUACCUCUGGGUCACUGCUGAGCAACCUCUGGGGUACACUGGGAGGCUGAUGCCUCACAUUGCUGACUCAUCAUUUAAGGCCCUUCUCAAGUGGUUUCAAUCUACAUUUCCAAAGCUUUUGCCCCUACUUCCCUACCAUGCCCUACGAUGCUACUGUGGAGGUCUGUUGGUUGCUCUAGGACAAAGGAAGGCACAGUCCAGCUUCCCACCUUGGCUGUUGCUGUUUCCUAGCCCUUGGAAUGCAUAUCCCUCUAACCCAUGUCUCCCAGGCUGGUUUUCCAGGCUCCUCUGGAACACACUACCUGCUUCCAUCCUCACGAACCAGAAAGCACGUGCUUGUGGCAGUCACCAGUCAUGUGUCUUCUUUUGGUACAUGCCUGAUGUUCCAGAUGGUCUGUGAGGCAGGGUCCUUGUCUUGUCCUCUGCUGAUCCCGAGUCCACACAGCAUCUUGCAUGGAGCAGAUGACCCCCUGGAGCGUGUGUGGAUCCAGCCACCUCCUCUUCUAGGGCAGCUCAGCCUCCCAGAGCGCCAUCCUCAACAUGGCCAGAAGAUGGCACCAAGGCUUCUGUCAGCGCCACCUGGCAGCAAGAGGCUUCACAAGGGGGGCCAGAGAAGAUGGCCAUCAGGAAGCCUGACACAGAGACCUUCAUACAGUUUGACAACACCCAGGGAGCUUGAAGAGAUGGCCCGGUAGGAGAGCUGGGUGACUAUGGUUUCUGUCUGCACUGCAUGUUUGUCCCAUUUCCCAUCUUCUGGUUUCUUUGGGAGAUACCCAGUAGAUCAGAAGAGGAAUGACUCUGUGGGUACCCCCAAUGUGAGAAGAGGAGGCCCCCUGUGUACCAGCAGGGCAGGAAAGAACAGCUAACCAGGGCAGAGAGACCACAGCUGCCUUCACACCAUAUGCAUCUCAGUAGGGGCCAGAAGCUUAAAGAAUGGACACUUUUCUCCUCCUAGGCACUGUGUAUCUUGCUGACCAUUGGCAAGACCUUUGAUGUUUCCUCUUUGGUCCGCCAUUUGAUUUAGGACAUGGCAAUGUGGCUCCAUAGAGAUGUCAACACACAAAUCCACUGAAAGGCUCAUGAUGAUGGCACAGGACAUUGAAGGGGUCUCUAUAGCUUCUCAACAUAGUUCAGGCCUGGACAUAACAGGCCUGGUGCAGCCAGGCUCCCAGAAGGAUCCCAUGCAAAGAAGGUUUUAUCUGAACAUUAGUAGAAAAUGAAUGCCAGGUGCCUCAUUGCUGAAAGACCCAAGAUGUACCAACCAUCAGCCAUCCCUGCCCUCAUGCCUCUGAACAUUACAAUGGGGAACGUCUCAGACUCCACAGAGAGCCUCUGCACUCCUUGUUUGGAAGGCCAUCUUUCUUUGGGGAAAACUUGUAGAAAGGAGAUUUUUUUUUUCACACCAUCUGCUGGUGUGCGUGGAUAGAGGACUGUCUUUAUUUGGUGUCAUAUAUGUAUGGAUAUGUAAACACAGCUGACAUAUGAAUCAAGUCUGUGUAAGACUGCUGUGAAUGCCCAGGGGACAGGUACAUUUCCAGAAGGAGAAAAAGAAAAAUACAUGUCUAUUACUACAGUUUUAUGCAUCUAAUAUCACGGGCAAAUAUAGACACCUGGAGACUAUCAAACCAAAAUUAAAAACUCAUCGAAAGGAAAGGACAGUAUUUGCACAGAUUGCCCAUAAAUCUGCAACAACGGACUCUCUUUGGGCAUAACAUCAAAUGUUUGCUUUCUUUGUGGUGUCUCAUUAGGAAGGAAAUUUAUUGCCCAACUCCUGAACUAUGUCAAUUUGAAAAAAAAAUUUUGUGAAUAUUUGCAGGAACCACACGCUUGGUUUUAUAUUAGCUUUAUGCCACUGAACAGGAAAAAGCUUGGUCUUCCCAAUGAUGAAAUGACACUAAUCAUGAAAUUAAAGGAGCUAGCAUGUACUCAUUUGGAAGAGACAGCAGUUUCCCAUAAAUGGAUCAUAGCCCUGGCUCCCUUUGAUAAGUUAGGGUGACGUCACCCCCUCCAUCCGAGGCCAGCGCAAAAGCCACUUCCCCUGCCUCCCUGCCCUGGCAUCUUCUUCCCCUAUCUAAAAGAGGAGGCUUCAGAGGAACCAGAUUCUCAUAGUGGGGUAUGCUCCCCAGCUGUGCUUGAUUGCCUGCUGCAGUGAAAAUAGUUUGCAAAAGACUAGGAAGGAAGAGAAAAACGUUAAACAAAAAUCAAUGAAUUGCACAUGGUGCCCGUUAAAAAUAAUAACUAGGCAGGAGAUGAAGGGCUGAGCUUACACAUGUGAACUUGUCUCUGCGAGGGCCCUGGCAUCCAGACGGGGUGGGAAUGGCUUCUUCCUGUUCCUGUUGCCCCACUCAGACCACGGCCUGUGGCGAGCGCUUCACACAGCCACUGAAAGGGGAAGAGGAAAGGAGCAAGGAGACUUGAGGGUUGACCUAGCCCUGAUCCCCACCUUCUCUGUUGGACUCUUCAAACAGGAGGCUGCCUAGGGCAUGGAGUGGAAACUCCCGUCAACGCAAGAAGGAAUAUUUAAGUUGCUGCAAACAUGUUUGAAAACCAGGGGAACAUGGAAGGUGGGCUUCUGUAACACUGAAACCAAGUCUCUACCCACAGUUGGAAAUGAGAUUGGUUGAGUUUAUUUUAUGGCUCAAUGUAUGACUCGCCUUUCCAGUUUUAUUGUGUUAAAGACACUGCUAUGCAAGCUUCACUGCUAGUUCUUGGUAGCAGUUGUGAAUUUUUUCUCUGGAGAUUUUAAAAGAACAGAAUGGAGCUAGAAAAAGGAAAUAAUUAGUUCUAAAAUAAAAAAAUAAAGUGAGAUGUAAAGCUGCAAAUUCACUUCCUUUUUGGUUAAAAAAAAAUAGAGGUGGGGAGAGAGAGAGAGAGAGAGAGCGAGUGAGCGAGAGAGCCUAAUACUCAUUGAGGCUAGAAUGGAGACCACUCUCCUCAAAUGACCUAGAGAAUGGGAGAGGAAUAACUGAACACAGAACCUCAUUUUCCUUCCUGGCUCUCCGAUUUAUGAUUUGAGUCUUUAAUUAAGGUAUCCUUGGAUGGAUGCCCUUUUCCCCCCACAAAAAUCAUUUGCCUCUGUUAAUAUACCAUUAAUACUAUUUUCAUUUGUUCAACUAAUAUUUGAGUAUCUACUUGGCUAAAGACCCAGAGAGGCAUGAAAAAAGGAGUCACUCACAAAUAACUAGUAUUUGAAUAAAGAGCUGUAUGAUACCAUUUUACAACUAUAGUAUGAAACUAUACAUAUGUUGGUUUUUGUGUGUUUAUAUAUGUGUUUAUGAAUGUGCUUUCUGAUUUUUUAACAACAUAUAUUAGUUUUUUUAAUGCAGCAGAGCACCAAAAUGCUCAAAAUAUGACUGCCCAGAUAACCCUGAAGACUUUUGCAAGAAAUAAAAGUUACAUAUGAAAUGACUGGAAAGUACUGAAAGAUGUGCUUUUAAACACCUUAAAUAUACAUCCUGAAACCCAAAUUUAGAG